rnacentral:rRNA from 1 species
GUGGGGAAUAUUGGACAAUGGGCGAAAGCCUGAUCCAGCCAUGCCGCGUGUGUGAAGAAGGUCUUCGGAUUGUAAAGCACUUUAAGUUGGGAGGAAGGGCAGUAAGUUAAUACCUUGCUGUUUUGACGUUACCGACAGAAUAAGCACCGGCUAACUUCGUGCCAGCAGCCGCGGUAAUACGAAGGGUGCAAGCGUUAAUCUGAAUUACUGGGCGUAAAGCGCGCGUAGGUGGUUUUGUAAGUUGGAGGUGAAAUCCCCGGGCUCAACCUGGGAACUGCCUCCAAAACUGCAUGACUAGAGUACGGUAGAGGGUAGUGGAAUUUCCUGUGUAGCGGUGAAAAGCGUAGAUAUAGGAAGGAACACCAGUGGCGAAGGCGACUACCUGGACUGAUACUGACACUGAGGUGCGAAAGCGUGGGGAGCAAACAGGAUUAGAAACCCUUGUAGUCC